ACAGUACAAACUGAGCAGGCGAUGGCCUCCGGGCCAUGGGGCCGGGCCGCGAUGCGGCAGCAGAUGUCAACGCAUCUGUGGGACAGU
rnacentral:ncRNA from 1 species